ACAGAACUCAUUUUGCAGGACUCCACCCGAGCAGCUCAUUUCCUCACAAUCUUCAAGAAACAUCUGGAGUCGGAACCCUUCUUUCAUUGGCACUUUUGUUCGACGGAAGACACAGCUCCCUCACAAUCUUCAAGAAAUAUUCCUAGACGCAUCUCUUCUGCACACAGAUCUCAGACCAGGACCUCCAUUAGCAGGUAAUUGCGAAUUAUGAUGACUGUAAUA